ACGUAAACGUAGGAUUUACGUCUGACUUAAGAUUAGAGUUACGUACUCGUGAAAUGGUAUUUACAAAACCGUUCGUAGCCGCAAACGUAACUUACGAUGUACGAUUGCACGUACGCGUGCGCAGUGGCUAUUUUCACUUCGAAGCGUAAAAAGUGUGAAUUUGCUCAUUUACUUUGACUUCCCUGCGCUACCGCCGCAUUAUGACGAAAAAGAACACAGAACUUUGUGAGAAAGCAACGAAUUUCAACGUAUACGUAUGCCUGCCAACGGCAUGUCGAUCAACUGUACCGCUAUUCAGUGUUGUUUACAAAUCCAAAUGGAAGGUUCAUCAAAUUUAACGCAUUUGACUUGUGCAUGGAUCUGCGAUGCUGUAGGUCUUCAAAAAGAAGUCGGCAUGGACUGACAAGGUCAUAAAGGUGGUCAAGAAAUAAAUUGCCAAAAGACAGCAGCAUUCCUUGAUUUAGAUACAUUUCUCUUCAUGUCCUCUCCUGAAAGAUUUUCCAUGAUGCUUCAGGGUUAGGACUGGGAUGCAAGAUGUACAGUACAUAUAUAUGAUGUCUAUGGGUACAUUGCUGUAAUGGCCUGAAAAAUCUUUUGCGAAACCGAGAAAUGUUCAUCUUCCAUUGCCAUGAUUGUGUAAAAGGACGAGCAGAGGAAUGAUUCAAAAAUAUAUGGCAGGAUUGAGAAUCUAACCCAUGACCCGUAGUCUGGUACUCUACCCACUGAUCAAUCCAUGCUGAUGGUCCAUCUGCUACAUUGAUGUCAUCUUAUAUAUUUAUUUAUUCAUUUAUAUAUCAUAUGGGCAUUUAAAAAUUGACAGUAAAAUAAAAAAAAGUUUGAUAUUCAGCAAAAUAGAAUUUGUUACAAUACAUGUUUAAGAAAUUAAGUACAUGUACAUGCAUUGUUAUGCACACAAUUAUGUACAUGUAAUUAUAUUUGUUAAUAGAUAAAUUCUUAGAUGAAUUUUCAUGUUGUUAUUGAUAUUGACAUGUACAUGUAUUACUUCCAUUUCUAGAAUGAUUUUAACAUCUUGAUAUUAAAAUGAUGACAUAAUAAAUAAAUCUUAAAUAUUUGUCAA